AGAAGAUCCAGAAGAAGAUGCCGCUGAUUCUGAGGAGGUCACCGCGCUUCCCACGCCGCUCCCCACGCCUGCUCAGUCUCGCUCGCCCUCAGGGACGGGGGUAGGGAUCUCACCGGCGGGCGGCCGCUUCUGGCUGCUCGCUAGUGAGGAUUCCGACGAGGAGACUGGGCUCCCGUUGGAUUAUCAAGAGAAAGGACCCAGGGGAAAGAAUGCUGAUGUUGGGGGCAAGACUCGUCGAACAGGUGUCAAGUGAGAUCUUCAAAGCUUCGCAGGGAUGGCGCUUCAGAGUUCCGAGGCUGCAGAUGUGAAAAAGUUUAGCGAAGCUGCGACACUUCAAGCUUGUCUUUCUGUUCUGUGGCUUCUCGCCCUCUUCUUUUGCGUCAGAGUUGUAAUGAAGUUUAAGACUGCUCGUCAUGGGGGAGCUGGUGGCUCUAGUCCUUCUCCCCUGUUAUGUUUCUUUUUCUUUUCUCGUUUAUGAACUUGUAUCAAGACUACUAAACUGUUGCUCGGCUUCGGCCUGGUUUC